rnacentral:rRNA from 1 species
AGAGUUAAAUAGUACGUGAAAUUGUUGAAAGGGAAACGAUUGAAGUCAGUCAUGCUAGUGAAAAAUCAGUUUGACGGGUUUUGAGUUCAGGAGUAGAGGCAGGGUCAAACCGUUUCUUUUUUGAACUUGGGAUUUGUUAGAUGUACUUUUUCUUUGGCAGGUCAGCGUCGAUUUCGGAGGUUGUAAAAUACUCGGGGGAAAGUAACUCUGCUUCGGGAGAGUAUUAUAGACCCUGGGGGAUGCAGCCUGCGGGAUCGAGGAUUGCAGCAAAUGCCUUUGGCUUGUCGCCUAUCUCUGGUCGUUACCUCUCUUGUGACAACAUUCUUGCCACCGGAGGGUACUAAUGCCCAUUACUUAGAGCGAUCGAAAAUUUUGCUAAGGAUGUUGACGUAAUGACUUUAAACGACC